CACUGCCGAGAAAAGCCUCUAGAUAGAAAAUAGGUGCCCGUACCGCAAACCGACACAGGUAGUCAAGAUGAGAAUUCUAAGGUGAGCGAGCGAACUCUCGUUAAGGAACUCGGCAAAAUGACCCCGUAACUUCGGGAGAAGGGGUGCUCUUUAGGGUUAACGCCCAGAAGAGCCGCAGUGAAUAGGCCCAAGCGACUGUUUAUCAAAAACACAGGUCUCUGCUAAACCGUAAGGUGAUGUAUAGGGGCUGACGCCUGCCCGGUGCUGGAAGGUUAAGAGGAGUGGUUAGCUUCUGCGAAGCUACGAAUCGAAGCCCCAGUAAACGGCGGCCGUAACUAUAACGGUCCUAAGGUAGCGAAAUUCCUUGUCGGGUAAGUUCCGACCCGCACGAAAGGCGUAACGAUUUGGGCACUGUCUCAACGAGAGACUCGGUGAAAUCAUAGUA
rnacentral:rRNA from 1 species